GACGAACGCUGGCGGCGUGCUUAACACAUGCAAGUCGAACGGAAAGGCCCUGCUUGCAGGGUACUCGAGUGGCGAACGGGUGAGUAACACGUGGGUGAUCUGCCCUGCACUUCGGGAUAAGCCUGGGAAACUGGGUCUAAUACCGGAUAGGAGCCAUUUUUAGUGUGAUGGUUGGAAAGUUUUUUCGGUGUAGGAUGAGCUCGCGGCCUAUCAGCUUGUUGGUGGGGUAAUGGCCUACCAAGGCGGCGACGGGUAGCCGGCCUGAGAGGGUGGACGGCCACAUUGGGACUGAGAUACGGCCCAGACUCCUAUGGGAGGCAGCAGUGGGGAAUAUUGCACAAUGGGCGCAAGCCUGAUGCAGCGACGCCGCGUGGGGGAUGACGGCCUUCGGGUUGUAAACUCCUUUCGCUAGGGACGAAGCUUUUUGUGACGGUACCUAGAUAAGAAGCACCGGCUAACUACGUG
rnacentral:rRNA from 1 species